rnacentral:rRNA from 1 species
GUGUCAGCCGCCGCGGUAAUACGGAGGGUGCGAGCGUUGUCCGGAAUCACUGGGCGUAAAGGGCGCGUAGGCGGUUCGUUAAGUUGCUGGUGAAAUCCCGGGGCUCAACUCCGGGGCUGCCAGUAAGACUGGCGAGCUAGAGCACGGUAGAGGCGGAUGGAAUUCCCGGUGUAGCGGUGGAAUGCGUAGAUAUCGGGAAGAAUACCGGUGGCGAAGGCGUUCCGCUGGGCCGUUGCUGACGCUGAGGCGCGACAGCGUGGGGAGCAAACAGGAUUAGAUACCCUGGUAGUCCACGCCGUAAACGAUGGACACUAGGCGUCGGGGGGAGCGACCCCCUCGGUGCCGUCGCUAACGCAGUAAGUGUCCCGCCUGGGGAGUACGGCCGCAAGGCUGAA